rnacentral:lncRNA from 1 species
UAUAUCAACAACCGGUCCUAAACUACCAUUUUCAUCUACCAGUGGGGUGAUUCCCGCUCAACAUCCUCAUGUACGCACGCCCUUCUUCUAAUCCCAUGGCUCCACUGUCAUUGUUUGUCAGGUUCAGGUUCAGUUAGGAAAGGGGUUAACAAGUUGGCAGGUAACUCCUUUUCAUCAAUGAGAGACGAGAGAAGCAAGGCCAAGGGAAGGUAAGCUUAAUACAGUUUUGGGUUCAGUUUGUCGCUCUGAAUCUUCAAUACAGAACCAGAGAACCUGACUCUUCCCCUUGAUUGUCGUACGUGUCGUUCUUUCGGGUACCCAUUACCCAACCCACCAUCUAGUCUAGCUAAUGCAGUAACUCUCUAAGCUGAACCUCCCCGCAAGAUUAGCUUACCAUCCGGUGCCAUGUCAUUUCCUGUAAUCUCAACUGAAGAACAAUGCAUCACUCGGCCUUAUUUUAUACUUCUACUAGUGAUUGUUCCAUGGAAUAAAAGCUUAAGCAAUACACCUGCAGGUUUUCUUAGGGUGAGUUCAAUCAGGUUCCCAUCUGACUCUGAGUAGUGGGUACUGACAGUGCUGCCUCUGUUGCUAAGCAGGUUCGCCUCCCUUGCUGGUUAUACCAGUGCUUAAGUCGUCAUCCUUUAUGGAUCAAUCAUAGGGAGCUCUGUGUCUUGUUAGUAUGUUGUCUUUGUUCUUUGUUCAGACUAACAGUGGGAUGCAAUUUUCUUGUCACUGUUUGAACAUCGCAUAUGCAUAUUUUUUACCAAAGCCUAUGCCUUGCAGGUGUUUUCACCGAGUUGAUUCAGGAGAUGCAAGUAAAAGGUGUACAGGUUAGCUUUGUCAUGCAAUGGUGUAAUUUAGCUAUACAACCUGUUAUCAGUUAGUUUUGAUAUUUAGUCAUGCAAUGGUGUAAAAUACUUGGUUGGAAUUGCUUGUUGAACUGUGCAGUUUAAGAAUAGACAUUUGUCUCCAUUUUUUCCUUCACGUGUUAGCUUUGUCAUAAGUCAAACUUCCUGAAGUUUAACCUGGUUUAUAAAAAAACAUGAGCAUUUACAAUACCAAAUCAAUACAUCUAGUGCCAUGGUGUAAAAUAUGUUCAUACUGUAAUUAUUUGAUGUAAUUUGUUUAUCUCCUACGUAAUUUGUUUGCCCUCCUCACGAGCGCUCCUCCCAAUUUCGUUUCUUUUUUCUUCUACUUCUUCUUGGUCUUCUUUUGCUUUUCUUUUCUAAACUCCCCCGCCCUCACGUAAUCUUUUGGGAAAAGGAAAAGGGAAUAAAUUUAAUGUGUGGGGAGGAUUAAAAAUGGGCAGGUAAGUGAGGCACGUCAGGGCCGCAUUUGUAAGGGUGUGCAUUAUUUGACCCCAGAGCUGGGCACUUAUUAUAUUUACUUUGUGACCUCCUCUGCUUUUGGCUUUAUCCAUCCUCUAUGUGUGUAUUUUUUUUUGCUCUUUUGCUGUUGUCUUUUUUUUCACUGUGCACAUGGACCUAACGCAAAGUCGUUCCCCUCCCUACCACCACAUGCCAACUGUCUAGCAAAGCAAAAAUAAAUUAGCUAUGGCAUGCAUUGCUUUGACCAGAGCGGCAUGUGUUUAAAAAAACCUCACCAAGUUCAUAUGUUAGCACCACAUCAAUACGUUUUUAAAAGAUUUCAACUAAUUUAAUAUUUUUAAUGAGAUUUGACCAGAAGCAAUUGUCUUAAAAACAUAUCCAAACAUAAUUGGAUUUUCUUUGACACGUUUUGACAAGAUUAACAUAUUUCAAAGGAAUUAUACUGUUUUCAAUGGAUCUUUUCCCCACUAAAUUAUACUCCCUCCGUUCCAAAAUAACUGUCUCAACUUUAUACUAUAUCUAGUAUAAAUUUAUACUAAGCUUAGGACAGUUAUUUUGGGACGGAGGGAGUACUAGAAAAUGGGCUGGACCCUGAAAAAUCACACAGCUAGUAGAUUCCACAUUGUUUUCUUGAUAUAAACCUGCAAUUUUUCAGUUGAAAAAGACGACCUGCCAAACAUUUCCACAAUAUUGAUCGUCCAAUAUCUACAAACAGCACCAAAGGUUACUUCUUAUAGUAGUACCAAUCAGAUACAAAAUUAAGAAAAUAAUGUACUGGUAGAAAGAAAUUAAAAUGUUGUUUAGUUAUAUCCCACGCAUCAUCCAUUGUAAACAGGACAACUCAUGCUGCUCUAUGUUUCCCUGCAUGCAUACCAUCUAUUAGUGGUUGUAUAUUGUGUAGACUAAAGGACUUGUAGUUACUCUAUAUUUCCCUGCAUGCAUACCAUCUAUUAGUAUAUUGUGUAGACUAAAGGACUUGUAGUCGAAAUAAAAUCAAUCAAGCUUUUACAAGAAUGACAACGCUAAUGGAAUGUAACAGCUAGAACGAAUUCAUAUUUUCACUCAGGUGCAAAUGGAGAUUUAACUUAAAUACAUAAAGGGACUCGGCCAAUGAUUAUACACAGAAGAUAUUUUAAAAAUACAGAAGCCACUAAAAAUGCUAGUACAUAAAAGAUGUCCAUUCAAUUACUUACCCAUUGUCUUGAACCUCAUCAGAUUCCUUGGUGGGGCUAACGUUCUCCUUGGAAGCAUUCUCAGGUGCAUCCAUAGAGGUAAUGGUGGCCCUGUCCCCUGUUCUUCUGUAGUCCCAUGUUCACCAUUCUCCUGUAUUUUGCACUAUUUGUCAUGCAUUUAUAUAUGGUUUCAUCAUAUCUAACGCACGGAACAAAGACCUUACUCUCGCAACACAGAACUGAGACCUCACAAUCACAGUACAUUUAGAAUUUGGAUAACUGGACUUAUUUACUAUGUCCUCAAUUGAUGCCUCCUUUUGCUUAAAUAAAUAGGUUGCUACUUCAUUGUUUAGUGGUGUAGCCUUUUACAGAAUUUAAAUGGUUUGUCCCCUGUAUUAUCACAUCUUUCCAGACUAUUAAACAUAUGCAUGCUGAUAAAACAACAUUUAACCCGAGUUAUCUUUGUCAAUAUUUGCUUAAAUAAAUAUAUCUCUGUAUAGACCUCGAAAUUGGUAUACCUCAGUGGUUGAACUUGCAUAAUGUGAUACUAAUACUAAUGUCUUCUCCUACUUGGAAGAAAUGGAUUAUUAAUUAUCAUGCUUAUAUUUAUGUUGCAAGAAAUGUUUGCCAAGUUGAAUUUGAAUAAUCAAAUUUUACCUUCUUGGUUGAAUUGUUUCCUCCACAUUGUUGAUCAUGUUGAAGGCCAUUGCUAUGGAUUUGUUUUCAGGAGAAGUAUGUUGGCGCGACACGGGUGAAUGGCUAGCUGGAGGAAAUGUAUUUGCUACUAUUUUUGCUAUAUUCCUGUGUAAGGAAAUGUAUCCAUGAGAUGAGAUAUUGUGUUAUGUAAACCUGGGAGAUGUAUUAUGUGAUGUUAUAUGAUGGAUGAUUUUAAUUCGACUUGGAGUUUUCUUGAUUUGAAUAUGAAGUAGUGCUGCAUUUAAUAUUGGACAAAUAAUUGGUUGAAAAGGCCCAAUAAAUAGAAAUGAGACCAAGUUCUCAAAAAAAAAUGCUGAAUUCAAAAAUGAAAAAAGGCCAAAACUAAAACUGGAUCAAAUGUAUUUGGGCAUGAAAAGG